rnacentral:rRNA from 1 species
UACGUAGGUGGCGAGCGUUGUCCGGAAUUACUGGGUGUAAAGGGCGUGUAGGCGGGACUGUAAGUCAGAUGUGAAAUUCCAGGGCUUAACUCUGGCGCUGCAUCUGAAACUAUGGUUCUUGAGUGUCGGAGAGGAAAGCGGAAUUCCUAGUGUAGCGGUGAAAUGCGUAGAUAUCUGGAGGAAUACCGGUGGCGAAGGCGGCGUUCUGGACUGCAACCGACACUGAUGAACGAAAGCCAGGGGAGCAAACGGG